CCCCCUCCGUCUCCUCUCUUUAUCUUCGCUUUUUCCUUUCUUUCUUUUUUUUUAUUUUUUCACUUUCUCAUUUCUUGACUGCAAUUUGUACUUCAUUUUAUUUAUCAAUAAAAUAUUAUAAUAGGUUUCAUUAAUUUGCUCGAAGAUAUAAUGAUAUCUGUAAUAUAGAAUUUGAAGUUUUAGAUUCCUUUAUAGAGGAACCC
rnacentral:lncRNA from 1 species